rnacentral:rRNA from 1 species
GAUGAACGCUGGCGGCGUGCCUAAUACAUGCAAGUCGAGCGAACGGACGAGAAGCUUGCUUCUCUGAUGUUAGCGGCGGACGGGUGAGUAACACGUGGAUAACCUACCUAUAAGACUGGGAUAACUUCGGGAAACCGGAGCUAAUACCGGAUAAUAUUUUGAACCGCAUGGUUCAAAAGUGAAAGACGGUCUUGCUGUCACUUAUAGAUGGAUCCGCGCUGCAUUAGCUAGUUGGUAAGGUAACGGCUUACCAAGGCAACGAUGCAUAGCCGACCUGAGAGGGUGAUCGGCCACACUGGAACUGAGACACGGUCCAGACUCCUACGGGAGGCAGCAGUAGGGAAUCUUCCGCAAUGGGCGAAAGCCUGACGGAGCAACGCCGCGUGAGUGAUGAAGGUCUUCGGAUCGUAAAACUCUGUUAUUAGGGAAGAACAUAUGUGUAAGUAACUGUGCACAUCUUGACGGUACCUAAUCAGAAAGCCACGGCUAACUACGUGCCAGCAGCCGCGGUAAUACGUAGGUGGCAAGCGUUAUCCGGAAUUAUUGGGCGUAAAGCGCGCGUAGGCGGUUUUUUAAGUCUGAUGUGAAAGCCCACGGCUCAACCGUGGAGGGUCAUUGGAAACUGGAAAACUUGAGUGCAGAAGAGGAAAGUGGAAUUCCAUGUGUAGCGGUGAAAUGCGCAGAGAUAUGGAGGAACACCAGUGGCGAAGGCGACUUUCUGGUCUGUAACUGACGCUGAUGUGCGAAAGCGUGGGGAUCAAACAGGAUUAGAUACCCUGGUAGUCCACGCCGUAAACGAUGAGUGCUAAGUGUUAGGGGGUUUCCGCCCCUUAGUGCUGCAGCUAACGCAUUAAGCACUCCGCCUGGGGAGUACGACCGCAAGGUUGAAACUCAAAGGAAUUGACGGGGACCCGCACAAGCGGUGGAGCAUGUGGUUUAAUUCGAAGCAACGCGAAGAACCUUACCAAAUCUUGACAUCCUUUGACAACUCUAGAGAUAGAGCCUUCCCCUUCGGGGGGCAAAGUGACAGGUGGUGUAUGGUUGUCGUCAGCUCGUGUCGUGAGAUGUUGGGUUAAGUCCCGCAACGAGCGCAACCCUUAAGCUUAGUUGCCAUCAUUAAGUUGGGCACUCUAAGUUGACUGCCGGUGACAAACCGGAGGAAGGUGGGGAUGACGUCAAAUCAUCAUGCCCCUUAUGAUUUGGGCUACACACGUGCUACAAUGGACAAUACAAAGGGCAGCGAAACCGCGAGGUCAAGCAAAUCCCAUAAAGUUGUUCUCAGUUCGGAUUGUAGUCUGCAACUCGACUACAUGAAGCUGGAAUCGCUAGUAAUCGUAGAUCAGCAUGCUACGGUGAAUACGUUCCCGGGUCU